AUGCUUUUAUUGAAAAGAAUGGACUCAGUUGCUGUCUGCUAAGGUUUCCACCACAGAUGCAAGAAAAAAGUGUCCUUGCAUUUUCUGUCUGUCUGAUUGUGGCAGCCCAGAUUGAAUGGGGAAAUAUAGGG